rnacentral:rRNA from 1 species
UACGGGGGGGGCAAGCGUUGUUCGGAAUUACUGGGCGUAAAGGGCUCGUAGGCGGCCAACUAAGUCAGACGUGAAAUCCCUCGGCUUAACCGGGGAACUGCGUCUGAUACUGGAUGGCUUGAAUCCGGGAGAGGGAUGCGGAAUUCCGGGUGUAGUGGUGAAAUGCGUAGAGAUCCGGAGGAACCCCAGAGGCGAAGGCGGCGUCCUGGCUCGCAUCUGACGCUCAGACACGACAGCAUGGGGAGCGAACGGG